UACAGAGGUCUCAAGCGUUGUUCGGAUUCAUUUGGGCGUAAAGGGUGCGUAGGCGGCGCGGUAAGUCGGGGUGUGAAAUCUCGGAGCUUAACUCCGAAACUGCAUUCGAUACUGCCGUGCUUGAGGACUGGAGAGAGACUGGAAUUUACGGUGUAGCGGUGAAAUGCGUAGAUAUCGUAAGGAAGACCAGUGGCGAAGGCGGGUCUCGUGGACAGUUCCUGACGCUGAGGCACGAAGGCCAGGGGAGCAAACGGG
rnacentral:rRNA from 1 species